rnacentral:rRNA from 2 species
AGCGAACAGAUAAGGAGCUUGCUCCUUUGACGUUAGCGGCGGACGGGUGAGUAACACGUGGGUAACCUACCUAUAAGACUGGAAUAACUCCGGGAAACCGGGGCUAAUGCCGGAUAACAUUUAGAACCGCAUGGUUCUAAAGUGAAAGAUGGUUUUGCUAUCACUUAUAGAUGGACCCGCGCCGUAUUAGCUAGUUGGUAAGGUAACGGCUUACCAAGGCAACGAUACGUAGCCGACCUGAGAGGGUGAUCGGCCACACUGGAACUGAGACACGGUCCAGACUCCUACGGGAGGCAGCAGUAGGGAAUCUUCCGCAAUGGGCGAAAGCCUGACGGAGCAACGCCGCGUGAGUGAUGAAGGUCUUCGGAUCGUAAAACUCUGUUAUUAGGGAAGAACAAAUGUGUAAGUAACUAUGCACGUCUUGACGGUACCUAAUCAGAAAGCCACGGCUAACUACGUGCCAGCAGCCGCGGUAAUACGUAGGUGGCAAGCGUUAUCCGGAAUUAUUGGGCGUAAAGCGCGCGUAGGCGGUUUCUUAAGUCUGAUGUGAAAGC